ACAUAUUUCCCCCUCCUAAGCCUUCUUAUUACAUAUUUCCCCAAACUAUAAAAUCAAUUACAUAUUUCCCUUUUUUUCAAGAAAUUACCCAAUUACCCUCAUAAUAACCCAUAUGUGUAAUAAGCAUCUGCGUGUAACCCAAACCCUACACAAUCAACAUCAACGUUUUCUAUUCCCAGCAAAACAUCGACGUUUCAUCUUCUUCUUCAUCAGGUAGACAUAGCAGCAGCAAUCACAGCGGCCACAGUGAUGAUUAUGAACACCGUGAAAAGACAUGCAAAAACUCAGCGCACCUGAAGAUCCUACUCAACGUCAAGCGUCGACAAGUAAAAGGGGAAGAGGAAAGAUUACAAAAAAUAUGUGAAAGUAGAAGAAUUGUGGUUUGAACGGAAUUUAUGUUUUUAUUAUGAACGGAAUUUAUGUUUUUUGAACGGAAUCUAUCAUGAAUGGAAUUUAUGUUUUUAUUAUGAGUA